rnacentral:tRNA from 1 species
GGCAAGGUACGCAAAUCGGAAAAGCGGCGGGGUCGAGAGCCCCGUGAUUCUGUGGGUUCAACUCCCACGCUUGCCA